GUGUUUCUUUGAGGCCCUUCUUUGCUUCCUUUUUGCUACAGAGCCUUUAUCACAUCUAGCUGAGAAUGUUCCUGUGGGCAAGGGCUCUUUCUUCUCUUUCUUUAUAUGACCUCAGGGAUAACAGGUACCAGACUCUAAAUAAAACCUGAACAGAAUGUAAUCUCCUUGAGAGCAGUGAAUACUUAAAAUAUAUAUAUCUAUAUAUAUCUAUAUAUAUAUAUCUAUAUCUAUCUAUCUAGGGCCUAACACAUUGCAAGAUAUAUAAUAGGCAGAUAAAUAAUGCAUUUUAAAAUGAUUUGGUUAAUUGAACUAUAUGCCUGACUGACCUAUGUUGGUCAGUUACAGAACUGGGAGCAAAACCUAGAAAAGAUCAAUGGUAUCAAUGCUAUCCAUGCUGAGGACACCCUACUGGUUUUUUCCAAAUUGCUAAUGGAAUAUUGUUAAAAUUCAUGGCUUCUGAUGAUUUGUAAAACAAUUUUUGAGCUUUUAAAUAUUUAGUUGUUUUUAAUGAAAGUACAUGUAAAUAUCAAACCAGGAAUAUUACAACAGCAAAACCAAAAGGCAUUUAUGCAUGUUGAUGUGGAUUCUUGAACAUCUCUUUCUUGCAUCCCAGUCUGAACUUCACAAUGAAGCUUGUCAUAAGCCUCUUCCUCCUCUCCUGUACCCUGUGUGUCAACAGUCAGCAAGAAGGGUUUAAAAAAUGGUUAGAAAACACUAGUAAAGGUCUUUUGCUGUUGUGCCAGCUGCACUGUAAAAGACAGGACCCAAUGGAAGUCGACAAUGAUGAGCUAAUACCAAUGUUGCUGAGAUCUCCCACCCCAGAUGAUAGCAAUGUCCAUGUCCAUGAAGAGGGUAACUCCAAAGAACAUCUGUUGAUGAAACCAACAUCGCCCAAUAUACACUUAGCCUAGAAGCAUCUGGAAUCCCAAAUUCUAAGCUGACUUUCCCUUCUUGCUCCCUCUGCCAAUGCGUGCUUUUUCUGUAGUAUCCCUUCCUCCCAUCUCUCUGUUGUAGGUGUGCAUAAUUGUAGCUGCUAACAUCUUAGCUGUCUAAUAAACAUCAGUGCAGAAACAUGACCUUUCCUGAAUUUCUUUGCAUCCGUGUAGAAGCCAAAUAAUCUGUGCCUUUUUGAGCUUGAAUCUGACUCCAGAAUAGACAUCUGAGUGAC